rnacentral:tmRNA from 1 species
GGGGAUGUAAAGGUUUCGACAGGGAUACUGAACCGCGAUAAGCAUGCAGCGUUACGGGAACGCUUUGAAAACCGAAUUCUUUAAAAUAACUGACAAUAAUACAGUUGCUUUUGCAGCUUAAUUAAGCUGCCAUCCUGCCCGGAAAUACCGCGGUCCGGGUUUGGGUGUCGAUUAGCGGUGAACGUGAGCGGAUGGGUUCCUCGACUCUGCCACGGAAAGAGGAUACCGAACGUUAAAGCCUGUUUAUCGGCGUUAGCGUAAGGGAAUUUUAAACGAUAAAAUAAGCAUGUAGAAGGUUACGGGAACGUGUUUUUGGACGCGGGUUCGAUUCCCGCCAUCUCCACCA